rnacentral:tRNA from 10 species
GUUGUAAUGAGUCUCCUCGCAUUAUUGAACAAACACCUCUAAGUCACCUUUUGCUGGAGGAAGCUUGGUCCUUACAGGAGGGCCUUAGAUUGGGCCCUGAUAAGGCAGCACAUCCUGUCUGCCUCCCUGUCCACACCCUCACAGCUGAGCCUGCUGCGGUUGCUGCUGACUUCAAAGGCACUGCUUCCCUUGGAUCCACAUCAAGGACUGGAAUGAGAAAAGGGUCCCCUGACCUUCUUAUACUGCAGUGCCUUUGAGGACAAAGCUGAAGGAGCUCCCGUCUCAGAAUGAUGCCAUUUAGCUCGAGGGCCUGCUCCCUCUGGCUUGAUGGCCUGUCCAGAAGGCUCUGCCAGUGCCCAGAUGUAAACAUCUCUCCAGCAGCGUUGCCACGUGGAACCCUCACGCUGCUGGUCCCUGAGAAGCCACACGGGGAACUUGCCUUCCUCUGCCCUCCUCCCAGGCCCAGGCCUUGACCUACCUGGUUUAUAUUUAUACCUCAGCCUGAAUCCUCACACUGCUAUUCUUUUCUUCUUCCUAGUCACCUCGCCUAAGUGUCCCCAGCGGUGCUCUGCAGAGCAGAGGCCCCAGCUCCAAAACAACAGAACACAAAGUACUUUAACCUUUGAAUGUGGCAAGACCUCCGUGAAAAAUCGUUUCUCAGCCCAUUUGAUGGGAAAAGGGUGCUAUUUUUGUGACUACCUGUAACAUCUGAGUAUGCUCGUCAGAAGUCACUCCGAGGAAAAAUCUGAUUAUUAGUUGGGAAAAUGGGGCAAGGAGGAGGCAGAGAAGAGAAGUAGCUCUGCUGGGUAUGUGGCAGUGUGACUUCUAGAACUGUUUGUGUCCAUGUGGACUUGGACAAGCCACUUCAGGACUCUGGGUCUGGGUCUUCUCAUCCAAAACAAGGUAGGGAAGAGCCGCGCAGCCAGCAGAGCUGCUGCCUUCAGCACUGGGGACCCCAGGGCAGACAUAGGGCUUCUGCCUUCUGCCCAUUCCACAUGCUGGAGUCCUCCUCGGGGUGCAGUCCUGGCAAGCGUGUGUGUCUGUGGUCAAGACGACAGACCUUUCCUGCCAUUGCUUUAGUGGGAAAAUUGCAGAAAAAGGACUACAAACACCUCUGCAGUCUUCCUUUGAUUAAUGAAAUCAGGGCAUUACUCAGAAUUGCUCCUGGGGGCGCAGUGACCCACGCAUGUAACCCAGUAUUUUGGGAGGCUGAGGCAGGUGGAUCACAUGAGGUCAGGAGUUCGAGACCAGCCUGGCCAACAUGGUGACACUCUUCUCUACCAAAAAGGCAAAAAUUAGCCGGGUGUGGUGGAGGGCACCUGUAAUUCCAGCUGCUUGGGAGGCUGAGGCAGGAGGGUCACUUGAACCUGGGAGGCAGAGGUUGCAGUGAGCCAAGAUCACGCCACUGCACUCCAGCCUAGGUGACAGAGCAAGACUCCAUCUCAAAAAAAAAAAAAAUGCCCCUGGGAUGUGUAUUAAUCACAGGUUAAUGACUUACAAAUUCAUAUCGUGUCAUAUGUAUGACAGAUUAUAUUUAGAUGUAUUUAUAUUACAUGUAUGACACUACAUGAGUACAAAUUACAGGUGUUUGUACAGAUAUUUGUAUAUUUAUUAAAAAUAUCUAUUAUAAGUAUAGAUAGGUAAUUACCUACUAUUUUAUAGGUAUUUGUCUCUAUAGACACAUAUAUAUGGACAGGUUUUUUUGUGUGUAUAUAUAUAUAUGCACACAUAUAUAUAACACUAUAUCAAUACAAAUCACAGGUAUUUUUAUAUAUAUUACAAAUACCUAUUAGAGAUAUGUAUUAGUAAAUGUCAUAUACAUAUUUAUAUAUAUAUACAUGUAAAUAUAUAGGUAUUUGUGUGUAUAUGACACUAUAUGAAUACAAAUCACAGGCAUAUACUUACACACAGAUACGGAGUCACCCAAGGAUUCCCUAUAAGGCCAUGGACAAAAAGCAUGUGUCUCCCAUGGUGGACUGAAUUGUGUCACCCUCAAAAGAUACACUGAAGUCCUAACCCUGGUACCUGUGAAUAUGACCUUAUUUUUGAAAUAAAAAUAUAUUUGCAGAUGUAAUUAUGAUGUAGGUGGAGAUGAGAUUAUUCUGGAGUAGGGUGGGCCCUCAAUCCAAUACGGCUGGUGUCCUUAUAAGAAGAGGGGAGAGGAACAGAGACAGACACUGUCAUCCACAAGGAGACCACCAUGUGAAGACACAGAUGCAUAGGGAAGGGCCACGUGAAGAUGACAGCAGUGACGGGAGUGGGGCAGCUACAAGCCAAGGAAUGUGGAGGAGUGCCGGCCACCACCAGAAGCUGAGAAGAGGCAAGGAAGGACCCUUCCCCACAGCCUUUAGGAGGAACAUGGCCCUGCCGAAACCUUGAUAUCACACCUCUAGCCUCCAGAACAACGAUGCAAUCAAUUUCUGUUGUUUUCAGACACUCAGUAAAGUACCCGCGUGGCUAGGGGAGCCCUAGGAAGCGAGUAUAGCUCUCGUGGCCGAAUGGAAUGAAGCGAAGCCUUCAUGUCAGCAUUGGGCUUGCAGGUGCUGAGCCCCCGAUGGUGGCCCCUCUUCCCGGCUUUCUCUCAGGGGCAUGGGUGGGGUGGAGAUAUUCAACUACUUCCAACGGAAACCAACACUUGAAAGGUUAUGAAGGCCCCUAAACCUCCUGCUCUUCCAUGGUGAUGGCUGACAGCUAAAGCCACACUGCCACUACCCUAAGCCCAAGCUUGAUCACCUGGAAAUGGGGACUGAGAGAGGACGAGAACAGCACAGCCUUUGAGCUCUCAUGGGGUGGCGUAAAUUUAUGGUCAAUAUGCCUCCAGAUCAGAGGUCCUGCUGUUAGAGAGUUUUCUUUUUUUGCUUUAGUGGUACACAGGAAUUCUCCCCCAGCCCCCUCAAGAUACUCACACAUCUUUUUAAAAUUUGCACCUUUUUUUCAGUCUGGUUUCCUAUGGUGAAGGGGAGGCUAGGAAAUGCCCAAUAAAUCAUCUGUCUGUCUUCACUCAAUUGAAAGGCAGGAAAUGCAGAGAACAGUCACGUUACCUUUCCACUUUGCAUAUAACAAGAGCUAUCAGGACCUGUUCCUUUGAAGGGGAGGCCCUUCUGACAGCAAUAUUAAAUUUUCGAGGCCACUGGAGUUUGUUUCUUGGGACCAGACCCAAAGUGGGCAGGCAUGUGGGAUGUUGGCUCUUUCCCCUACCAGCCCCUUCUAGGAGUAACUUCUUGGGCUUACCCUGGGAAAUCUACUCAGUCAGCAAUGAUUUAGGGGCUCCAUGUGCACAGCACCAUUGUAAGUCUAUGUGGAUUAAAGGAAUUCUACUCUUGAGUCCUAAUUCUUAACAAAUUUACAUCUACAGACAGUCCUAGACUUAUAAUGAUUCAACUAAAUGAUUCCUUGACUUUAUGAUGGUGUGAAACUUCCAAUUUUAAC